ensembl:lncRNA
CUCCGUUCUCCUAGUCCCCAGUGACCUGUCCAGGAAACACUAUCUGGAGCCAAUCCGAGAGAAGUCAGGGGACCUUCCACUCCCAGUGGCAGUGGGAGUGAGGGAACUAGGGGUCAGGACCACGUGGGGAGGUGGCUCCUCUGUUCCCUCUUCAUGGACUCUCUGGGCAGAGAACCUGGCCCCCAGCAGGGGCACUGAACCCAGGGCAGUGUGGGAAGGGUGCUUCAAAGCCCUAUCCAGCACCUUCUCAGGCUUCAGAGGGUGCCUGGUUGACUUCUAGAAACAAGCCAAGCCCCUGGGAGGGGAUAACUAGCAGUGCACUGUAGGCGGUGCCAGCCCAGCUUUUGUAUUCAGAAAGACCUGGGUUCGAAUCCUGGCCUUCCUGACUGUGUGGCCUUGAGCAAGUGACUGUGUCUUGUAAGAUGAGACUUUCCCAGCAGGAUUCCUGGGUGCACAGGCCAGGUGGAUGAGCCCAGUGAGCAGACCACAAAGGAGACACCUCCUGGCCUGAGGGUUUUCUCUACUGCCAAGAAGCAGCUGAUCGCCAGCAUCCUUGACCUCAGACCUGCCACUUUUUAAGCUCCAUCAGAUCUGCUGCUUCCUGUGGUGACUGGUGGGCCUGGCUGUUGUGGGCAUGCUGUCUCUACUCAGUCAUCCUGAGCUGCUGCUGGCUGGGAGAGAGGCGCGGACUGUGGACCCGGGACUGCAGAUGCUGUCUCUGCGCACACAGGCACUUCUGUGGCCGCAGCACACUGGUGUGGAAGGCCUCUUUCUCCACCAGCUUCACUUCCUGCUGGGCUCCCCAGUCACCACCGGCAGCUCCCUCUCUCCUUCAAGCCCAGAACCAACCCAGCCUCAAGCCUUUGUUGCCAGAGUAACAAGCCUUCCCUGGGCCUGGGAUGCUGAUGGAAAUGUACUGGGCAUUUGGGGGGUUUCCCAGGUUGAAGAACUGACACUGUGGGGGGUGGGGAGUAAUUUGUGGGGAGGGAGCUGGGCCCUGAUUCCUAGGGCUCUGCUAUCAGCCCAGGUUUCUGCUUCCCAAAACUCUGUGUCUGAGGCCUCAGGUUCUUGAGCAUGCUUCCUGGUUGCCGUGGCAACCCAACACUUGCAGAACAUGAUUGGAGACCAGCUUUGUGACCAUCCCCUUGACCUUGAGAUGUCGAAGGCCACCGGAUGGGCCUGGCUGGACAUAGACCCUCCCCAUCAGCUUCUCCACACCGCAGGGCCUCCCUCUGGCCGCCCCUCCCCAUGUGUGGACAUGGCUCCCCCUUCCCUUUCCCCACACAGAGGGACCCCCAUUUAGUCAUUCCUCUAUAAUCCCAACACCACGCUUCCCUCCCCAGUACCUCCAACACACCACCUGUCUCCCACCUCCCACCCUUUCUCCUCCUACCUCUGCCUGUUUCCCUUGGCAACUCUCUGGAGCCUCCUGGAGACGCCUCAGGACAAGAUGGUCCUUCCUGACCAAAUCCUUCCCACCACGGGGCCUCCAGUCCCAGCUCCCCAAGGAUGGGCAUGCAGCCAAGGUGAAGGUGUCGGUGAGAUCAGGGGGACAAGGGGCAGCCCGCACCUUCUCCCAGCUGUGUUAGUUUUCUGUGGCUGCUGUAACAAGUUGCCACGGACUCGGUAGCUGAAACAACAGAAAUUCAUUCUCUCACAGUUCAGGAGGCCAGAAGUCUGCAAUCAGUUUCGCUGAGCUGAAAUCAAGGUGUGGGCAGAGCCGUGCUCCCUCCAGGGCCUCUAGAGGAGGAUCCAUCUCCUGCCUCCUCCAGCGUCUGCUGGCUGCAGCGCUCCAAUGUCUGCCUUUGUCACAUCGCCACCUCUUCUGGAUCAUCUCCUGCUGCCUCCCUCUCAUACAGACACCUGGGAUUAGACCUGAUAUCUUUGGGAAGCUGUUAUCAAGUCGACCACAACAGCCUUCCCCCAAAUACACACACAGUUGUGACUGCUUAGUGCGUGAGUUGUGGGAAUCGGCCAGGAAAGGAUUUGAAGAGGAGUCAUCAUUAUCCCGGGACCAGCUAAGCCAAACUCUCCAGAGCCUCCAGGCAGGCCCACCUGGGCAUGGGGAUGUGGAGCAGGAAAGAGUGGAGGGGACAACUGUAUUUCUCCCCAAGUUGUGCAUCCCAUAGUCCUUACCCAAAGGCCUCUCUGAUGCCACCUGCCCUGCUCUCAGAUUGGGAAGCACUAGGGAGUUUGGGUAAGAGCCUGGGGGUAGGCUGAGACAAACCUGGGGGUGGACUGAGGCAUCUCCACCUACCAGCUGUGGUUCUCACAGUGUGGACUAUGGGCCGGCAGCAUCGGCAUCACUUGGGAGUUUAUGAGAAAUGCAAUUUCUCGGGCCCCACUCCAGACCUACUGAAUCACAAACUCUGUGGCGGAGCCCAGCAUUCUGUGUUUACUGAGCCCUCCGGGAGAUUCCGACGCACCCUGGAGUUUGAGAAGCACUAUUUUAGACUUUUCAUUAAGAAAUGUGGAUGGGGUGUCCCACACAGCAGAACCCGAAGGACCUCCAACUAGAAUAUACAACUAUGUACCAGGGGCUUUGGAGAGAAGAAGAAAAAGAUUGGCAGCAGAUGUUAGUCCAGGGCCAAUCUUAAAAAGAAAUAAAACAAAAUGUGGAUGCCAGGACCUACAGCAAACACACGGCAAGUGGUGGGAUUAAACGAAGUUAUGUCCACAGAGGAUUUACUGCAGUGCCUGGAUCUUCAGAGCAGGUGCUCAGUUGAGAUUUGUGGGAUGAAUGAAGGAGCUUUAAAAUGAGUAAUGGGAUGCAAGUGAUGUGGUUUUCAUUCACCCAACAAACAUUUACUGGGAGCUAGGUCCUGCCUGGGGUGCUUUGAAAGGUGAUUCACUGAAGUCCCCAACCUUGCCAGCUCACAGUGAGAGGGGUAAACUGAUGGUCAC